rnacentral:rRNA from 1 species
CCUACGGGGGGCAGCAGUGGGGAAUAUUGGACAAUGGGCGAAAGCCUGAUCCAGCCAUGCCGCGUGUGUGAAGAAGGCCUUCGGGUUGUAAAGCACUUUCAGUGGGGAAGAAAGCCUUGGGGCUAAUACCCUCGAGGAAGGACAUCACCCACAGAAGAAGCACCGGCUAACUCCGUGCCAGCAGCCGCGGUAAUACGGAGGGUGCGAGCGUUAAUCGGAAUUACUGGGCGUAAAGCGCGCGUAGGCGGUCUGAUAAGCCGGUUGUGAAAGCCCCGGGCUCAACCUGGGAACGGCAUCCGGAACUGUCAGGCUAGAGUGCAGGAGAGGAAGGUAGAAGUCCCGGUGUAGCGGUGAAAUGCGUAGAGAGCGGGAGGAAUACCAGUGGCGAAGGCGGCCUUCUGGACUGACACUGACGCUGAGGUGCGAAAGCGUGGGUAGCAAACAGGAUUAGAUACCCCUGUAGUC